UUUUGGUAAAACAAAGAAUGUUCACAAGAUGUUAUGUGUGAUGUCUUAACAUGAGUUAUCCUAUGUACCUGUUGGAGUUCAAGAACUUGUUCAUGCAGGAUUGUUUCAGAAUGCCACAUACAAUGCCAUGGCUUCUGAUAUCGGAUGUACCUGUUGGAGCUUAAAUGAAAGACAUGUUCAUGCAGGAUUGUUUCAGAUGACAUACACAAGGUCAUGGCAUCUGAUAUGGUUGUACCUGCUGGAAGUUAUAAAAGGAAU
rnacentral:lncRNA from 1 species